GGAGGCCUACCAUGCAGUCGAGCGCACCUUCGGGUGAGCGGCGGACGGGUUAGUAACGCGUGGGAACAUACCCUUUUCUACGGAAUAGCCUCGGGAAACUGAGAGUAAUACCGUAUAAGCCCUUCGGGGGAAAGAUUUAUCGGGAAAGGAUUGGCCCGCGUUAGAUUAGAUAGUUGGUGGGGUAAUGGCCUACCAAGUCUACGAUCUAUAGCUGGUUUUAGAGGAUGAUCAGCAACACUGGGACUGAGACACGGCCCAGACUCCUACGGGAGGCAGCAGUGGGGAAUCUUAGACAAUGGGCGCAAGCCUGAUCUAGCCAUGCCGCGUGUGUGAUGAAGGUCUUAAGAUCGUAAAGCACUUUCGCCAGGGAUGAUAAUGACAGUACCCUGGUAAAGAAACCCCGGCUUACUUCGUGCCAGCAGCCGCGGUAAUACCGAGGGGUUAGCGUUGUUCGGAAUACUGGGCGUAAG
rnacentral:rRNA from 1 species